UGUAUCACGGAUGAGAGUUUGUAGUCUUAAUUAUAAUAAUGAAAUCACACUAUCAGCUUGUUGUAUUUGUAUUGCAUUUGUUUCGUUCAGAUUUGUCAAGAGUUCACUCGUGUGACCACAAAGGACCUGAUGGGAACAUUUAAAGCUGCCCUUGAGAUGUUCACCCCUCGUCUGCUGAAAUUGUAUCGUGCCAGGAAGGGCGCCUUUAGUCGAGAGAUGGAAACCCUUUUGGAAAUGCUUGACAAACAGGCAACUGAUGCAGAUGACAAACAGAUGAAAGGCAUCAAGAUGGGGGUCCUCACAGUACUUGAUGAUGAUGACGACGCAGUCAUUAAUAUUGCCCUUGUGCUGGAGAAAACCAUUGUCCUGAAAGACAUCCCAGAUACCCCGACUGCACUUGCGUAUCUUUUUGGCUUGCUUUAUGCCCUCAACAUGGAGUUCCCAAAAGACAUCAGGUAUACCUUUGAAACUAUCCAGCACAUUUUUAUGGAAAUGUCCACCAAUUGCUCACAGCGUGUCCGGAGCUUCAAGACCAAGCUGUUAAACCAGUGAUUCAUUUUCCAUGGGGAAGAUUUAUUUUAUAAUGUUAUAAUGUAUGUUUGGAUAUUUUGUAAGUCUUCACAUAGACCACCUUAUAGUUUUUAUGUUGUUCCUUUAUUUUGACUAAAAACAAAUCUGUUAUUUGUUGCUGUCAUAUAACUGUCACAAGACUAUUGAUUGUUUCUCAGUAGAAGCAAGCUUUGUUUCAGCAUUGCUGUUAUAGUCUGCAUCUUUGCUGGUGUGGCAAGUGUCCAUGGGGAAGAUUUCUUUUAUCAUGUCUGUUCAUUUAGUAUGUUUGGAUAUAUUGUAAGUCUUCACAUAGACCACCUUAGUUUUUAUGUUGUUCCUUUUGAUUUCCCCAACUUAUUGACAUGUGCCUUAUUUGCUCUGGACACAAGUGCUUUAUUUGAACUAAAAACAAAUCUUUUAUGUGUAUCUGUCAUAUUACUGUCAAGAGACUAUGGUAUUGAUUGUUCAGUAGAAGCAAGAUGUGUUUCACCAUUACUGUUAUAGCCUGUAUGUUUGCAUUUUUGGCUAAUUUCAAAGUUCAGAAAGUUCAGAUAAUUUGGCUUUUUCAGCUGGGGAUUUACACAUUUCUGUUCUUAGGCACUAUACAACUGUUUAUCUGUAAUCUUUGUCAAUACUGCAUUAUUUGUAAGGUCUCAACAAGAGUCGGAAAGUAAAAAAUAAAACUGCCCAUAUUAUAGUACUGAAACCUGAU
ensembl:lncRNA